ACCUCUCUGCAAUGCUACCUAUAUGAAUUAAGGCAAUUGUUUGAAAAGGGAGUGAAGGGAUUCUUAGAUCUUUCUCCAACAAAGUGAGCCGAUUUUGCAUGCCAGGUCUUUCAUUAUUUCCCUUCAGCCCACACAUCAUCAAAGAGCAUACUUAAUGUCAUCUUGAUGUUUCCAGCUGCCAUUUGUGUUCUUUGAGCGGUGUGUGAGUGCUCAGCCUUUACAUAUUUCUGAGAGAAAUACUCUUAACCCUGUUCUCAUUUCUGAAAUAGAUAUCAGUGUUUCCUUUUUAGGUCAGGAGAAGACAACUGCAUAAUAUUCAAGAGGUAAUUUUCUGUCCUUAGGACCGUCCAAGAUUGCAGAGAUUGCCAAAAACGACAAAAAAGAGGGUGGAAACCCAGGGUCCUAUCACACUAUACUAUUAUAGCACUAUUGUUCCACAUUAAUUGUCUGGCAGCAUCAUAUUGAAUCAUGGGUUUUGCAGUUCCAGGAGUUAUGUAUGUUGCCUUGAGUUCACUGAAGGACAAGUUUGACAGAAAUGUAUCUGGGUGAAUUACCAGUAAUGUAACAUUCAAUAAAAUGACAGUGAUGCUUAUGAUAUAGUUGAUAUUCUUCCUUCAUAUCCAAAUAAUAAUUUGUGCUAAAUCCCUAUUUUCAGAAUAUUAUUGAUACUGGGAUCAGGAAAGUGGUUAUGAGGCCAUUGCCCGGAUGAUUUGUAUGUACAGUAGAGUCUCACUUAUCCAAGCUAAACGGGCCGGCAGAAGCUUGGAUAAGCAAAUAUCUUGGAUAAAAAGGAGGGAUUAAGGAAAAGCCUAUUAAACAUCAAAUUAGGUUAUGAUUUUACAAAUUAAGCACCAAAACAUCAUGUUAUACAACAAAUUGGACAGAAAAUGCAGUUCAAUACGCAGUAAUGUUAUGUUGUAAUUACUGUAUUUACGAAUUUAGCAGCAAAAUAUCACGAUAUAUUGAAAACAUUGACUACAAAAAUGGCUUGGAUUAUCCAGAGGCUUGGAUAAGCGAGGCUUGGAUAAGUGAGACUCUACUGUAAAUAACAACAACAACAACAACAACAACAACAACAACAACAACAACAACAAAGAGGGUUGGAAGAGACCCCUUGGGCCAUUAAGUCCAACCCGCUUUUACCUUUGUGAACCAAAAGCACAAGCAAAGCACCCCUGACAGAUGGCCACCCAGCCUCAAUGUUAAUAAUAAUAAUAAUAAUUAUAAUAAUAAUAAUAAUAAUAAUAAUAAUAAUAAUAAUAAUAAUAAUAAAAAAGAGGGUUGGAAGAGACCCUUUGGGCCAUUGAGUCCAAUCCCCUUAUGCCUUUGUGCAUCAAAAGCACUAGCAAAGCACCCCUGACAGAUGGCCACCCAGCCUCAAUGUUAAUAAUAAUAAUAAUGUGAUUUUGUGAUACGAAAUCCAGCAUAUCUAUCUUGUUUGCUGUGUCAUAAAAUAUAAUAAUAAUAAUAAUAAUAAUAAUAAUAAUAAUAAUAAUAAUAAUAAUGGUUGUAAGAGAAGAAGAGACCCCUUGGGUUAUUUAGUC
rnacentral:lncRNA from 1 species